rnacentral:rRNA from 1 species
UACAACUUUCAACAACGGAUCUCUUGGUUCUGGCAUCGAUGAAGAACGCAGCGAAAUGCGAUAAGUAGUGUGAAUUGCAGAAUUCAGUGAAUCAUCGAAUCUUUGAACGCACAUUGCGCCCUUUGGUAUUCCAAAGGGCAUGCCUGUUCGAGCGUCAU